rnacentral:rRNA from 1 species
UCCAGACUCCUACGGGAGGCAGCAGUGAGGAAUAUUGGUCAAUGGCCGAAGGGCUGAACCAGCCAAGCCGCGUGAAGGAAUAAGGCCCUACGGGUCGUAAACUUCUUUAGUCAGGGAACAAAGGGAGCCACGCGUGGCGCUGUGAGUGUACCUGAAGAAUAAGCAUCGGCUAACUCCGUGCCAGCAGCCGCGGUAAUACGGAGGAUGCGAGCGUUAUCCGGAUUUAUUGGGUUUAAAGGGUGCGCAGGCGGCGUGUCAAGCAAGCGGUAAAAUAGCGGGGCUCAACCCCGUCGAGCCGUUUGAACUGGCGCGCUUGAGUUCAGGCGAGGUAGGCGGAAUUCGUGGUGUAGCGGUGAAAUGCAUAGAUAUCACGAAGAACUCCGAUUGCGAAGGCAGCUUACCAGUCUGCGACUGACGCUCAGGCACGAAAGUGUGGGUAUCGAACAGGAUUAGAUACCCUCGUAC